UUGAGUAACUGUAUAUAGUAAGAAAACUGGAUCCGUUUUACUCUUCUGCAUAUGGCUAGCCAGCUAUCCUAGCACCAUUGAUUGAAUAAGGAUUCCUUUCCCUGUUGCUUUUGUCAUAUUUGUUGAAUAUUAGAUGGUUGUACAUUUACAGAUUAAUUUCUGAGUUUUCUGUUCUGAUCUGUUGGUCUGUGUAUCUGUUGUUGUACCAGAACCAUGCAGUUUUGGUUACUGUAGCUUUAUAGUUUAGUAUUUGAAGUUGGGUAGUACAAUGCCUCUGAUUUUGUUCUUUUUGCU